UGGGGAAUUUUACACAAUGGGCGAAAGCCUGAUGUAGCAACGCCGCGUGGAGGAUGACGGAUUUAGGUCUGUAAACUCCUUUUAUAGGGGAAGAAAUUUGACGGUACCCUAUGAAUAAGCACCGGCUAACUCCGUGCC
rnacentral:rRNA from 1 species